rnacentral:rRNA from 2 species
UCAGGUGACUAUAUCGGUGGGGUUCCACCUCUUCCCAUUCCGAACAGAGAAGUUAAGCCCACCAGAGCCGAUGGUACUGCAUUUGCGGGAGAGUAGGUCGUCGCCGACU